UACGUAGGGGGCUAGCGUUGUCCGGAAUCAUUGGGCGUAAAGCGCGUGUAGGCGGUUCGGUAAGUCCGCUGUGAAAGUCGGGGGCUCAACCCUCGAAAGCCGGUGGAUACUGUCGGGCUAGAGUACGGAAGAGGCGAGUGGAAUUCCUGGUGUAGCGGUGAAAUGCGCAGAUAUCAGGAGGAACACCGGUGGCGAAGGCGGCAUCCUGGACCAAUAUUGACGCUGAGGAGCGAAAGCCAGGGGAGCAAACGGG
rnacentral:rRNA from 1 species